GAGAGAGAGAGAGAGAGAUUGAGAGAGAGUGUAUACAUACAUACACACACACAUAUAUAUGUAUAUAUAUAUAUAUAUAUAUAUAUAUAUAUAUAUAUAUAUAUAGUAGUUCCUGAAGACAACAGAAUAACUUUAGAUAACUAGAACUCUAUUCUAAACUGAGUUUCUAUUCGUUGUAGGGCAGAGUAAUUCGCUUUAUGAGCUAGUUAUACACUAUUAAUAUGUACUCUACACAUUUAGUAAUACAGUCAUUCUUUUAACAUCACGUCUAGCACCGCACGAGCAUAAAAUCCAUUAGGAACCUCUCUCAGCCCAUCUGAGCCUAUAUCCACUUCCGGUUUGACUCACGUUACAAGCGUGGUUUUCCUGGCGCGAGGAUUUUGGGAAAUGUAGUCCUAACCGGAAUGCUGGUAGUGACUCAAAAGCAAAACAGCAACGUAAAAUAACGACAACAGGUUCAUUGUCAUACAUGUUGCAUAUAAUAUCGUAAACAUAGCUAAGAUUAUAUUUAAAUCAGCUCAAGAAAAGUUUACAGGCUAACGGCACAAUCUAAAGACUACAUCACCCAGCUCUGCGCGCUAUGAAACCGAGGCAGCGUAAACAGUACUUCAGGAACAUGAAAAGAUAAUCGUAACAUAGCUAAGAUUAUAUUAAAUCAGCUCAGAAAGUUUACAGGCUAACGGCACAAUCUAAAGACUACAUCACCCAGCUCUGCGCGCUAUGAAACCGAGGCAGCGUAAACAGUACUUCAGGAACAUGAAAAGAUCGGAUGACAGUGAGAGGGAAAAGAGGAGAAAGGAGGACAUCCCCUGCUCUUCCUCCUGCUUCUGUCCGCCUGUACCGCCGUCAACCACAGAACACAUUCCGGAACUCUCUGACAAAUAGGAGCUGUGGAGGAAGUGUGUUUGAUGUGUGUGUCCACCGACAUGUUUGUGUUUGAUGCUGUACAGGUGAGCUGUCCGACUGCUUGAUUCAGCAGGAGAAAAGGAACUCAGUAACUAGUGACACACAAGCUCCAACGGUGUACUCGCCAAACAUGGGGCUCUAUUACACACAUGGAUCUCAAUAGGCUACCUCUAGACAAAUGUACACAUAGUGAAACUCUCAGAUGUGUUGGCAAACACUUAAAGGGUUAAACUGUAAGAAUUUGUUUUGUGCUCAUCAGUCACUCACACAUUUUAUGUUUGUACAACUUCCAGUGCUUAGAAACUGAAAGUCAAAAAUAUGUAUCGUGUUUGUCUUUGACUGACUGGCAUCUCUUAUCUAAGAGGAGACCUGUUAGUUUGGUUUGAGUGUUUGUUUGUGUGGUUGAAUGAAACCCUUUUUUCCUUUAUUUAUUUACGUGUGUGUAUGUUGUGUGAGAGAGAAAAGAGCACUCGCUU
rnacentral:lncRNA from 1 species